GAUGAACGCUGGCGGCGUGCCUAAUACAUGCAAGUCGAGCGAACGGACGAGAAGCUUGCUUCUCUGAUGUUAGCGGCGGACGGGUGAGUAACACGUGGAUAACCUACCUAUAAGACUGGGAUAACUUCGGGAAACCGGAGCUAAUACCGGAUAAUAUUUUGAACCGCAUGGUUCAAAAGUGAAAGACGGUCUUGCUGUCACUCAUAGAUGGAUCCGCGCUGCAUUAGCUAGUUGGUAAGGUAACGGCUUACCAAGGCAACGAUGCAUAGCCGACCUGAGAGGGUGAUCGGCCACACUGGAACUGAGACACGGUCCAGACUCCUACGGGAGGCAGCAGUAGGGAAUCUUCCGCAAUGGGCGAAAGCCUGACGGAGCAACGCCGCGUGAGUGAUGAAGGUCUUCGGAUCGUAAAACUCUGUUAUUAGGGAAGAACAUAUGUGUAAGUAACUGUGCACAUCUUGACGGUACCUAAUCAGAAAGCCACGGCUAACUACGUGCCAGCAGCCGCGGUAAUACGUAGGUGGCAAGCGUUAUCCGGAAUUAUUGGGCGUAAAGCGCGCGUAGGCGGUUUUUUAAGUCUGAUGUGAAAGCCCACGGCUCAACCGUGGAGGGUCAUUGGAAACUGGAAAACUUGAGUGCAGAAGAGGAAAGUGGAAUUCCAUGUGUAGCGGUGAAAUGCGCAGAGAUAUGGAGGAACACCAGUGGCGAAGGCGACUUUCUGGUCUGUAACUGACGCUGAUGUGCGAAAGCGUGGGGAUCAAACAGGAUUAGAUACCCUGGUAGUCCACGCCGUAAACGAUGAGUGCUAAGUGUUAGGGGGUUUCCGCCCCUUAGUGCUGCAGCUAACGCAUUAAGCACUCCGCCUGGGGAGUACGACCGCAAGGUUGAAACUCAAAGGAAUUGACGGGGACCCGCACAAGCGGUGGAGCAUGUGGUUUAAUUCGAAGCAACGCGAAGAACCUUACCAAAUCUUGACAUCCUUUGACAACUCUAGAGAUAGAGCCUUCCCCUUCGGGGGGCAAAGUGACAGGUGGUGCAUGGUUGUCGUCAGCUCGUGUCGUGAGAUGUUGGGUUAAGUCCCGCAACGAGCGCAACCCUUAAGCUUAGUUGCCAUCAUUAAGUUGGGCACUCUAAGUUGACUGCCGGUGACAAACCGGAGGAAGGUGGGGAUGACGUCAAAUCAUCAUGCCCCUUAUGAUUUGGGCUACACACGUGCUACAAUGGACAAUACAAAGGGCAGCGAAACCGCGAGGUCAAGCAAAUCCCAUAAAGUUGUUCUCAGUUCGGAUUGUAGUCUGCAACUCGACUACAUGAAGCUGGAAUCGCUAGUAAUCGUAGAUCAGCAUGCUACGGUGAAUACGUUCCCGGGUCU
rnacentral:rRNA from 1 species